rnacentral:lncRNA from 1 species
CAGCCACAGCAACAGAUCCAAGCCACGUCUGCGACUUCUACCACAGCUAUUGGCAACACCAGAUCUUUAACCCUCUGAGCGAGGCCAAGGAUCGAACCCGCAACCUCAUGGUUACUAGUUCGAUUUGUUUUGGCUGCACCGCAACGGGCACUCGCUCCUUUUGGGUUUUUAGGAAGGCUUCAUUACACAGGCAUGACUGAUUAACUCAUUGGCUAUUGGUAAUUGAUUCAAGCUCUACUGCUCUCGGUUGGAUGGGACUGAAAGUUCUGACCCUCUAGUCCCAUGGUUGCUUGGGGCCCCUGGCGAGGUGAGGUACCAGACUUACCUCAUCAACAUGACCAAAGACAUCUUUAUUGCUAUCAAUUAGGAAAUUCCAAGGGCUUUAGGAGCUCUGUGCCAGAAAAAGUGACAAAGAGCUAAUAUAGUUUUUUCCUUAUGAAGCACAUUACAACUUGCCUCCCAGUUCUCCCUCUUUCUAGCUCUGUGACCUUAGGAAGUCAUUUCAUCUUUCUGUGCUUCAGGCUCUCAUCUAUCAGUGAGGCCAGUAAGAGUACCUACUUCACAGGCACAGGAUGAAACAAGUUGAUUCCUGUAAAAUCCUUCAAAUGGUCUAGCAUUUAGUGCUGGAUCUCUGUUGACACCUGCCACAUUAAGGGAGCCUACCAAGGAUUCCUAAGAAGCUGUGUAUAAAUUUAGGUUAAAUACCAGAGAGAAGGGAAGCUGAUGGCUUCUCUAAGGAAAAAAGAGCUUUCAAACAUUGGUGUGACAUGAGUUCCCGUCGUGGCGCAGCGGAAACGAAUCCGACUAGGAACCAUGAGGUUGCGGUUUGAUCCCUGGCCUUGAUCAAUGGGUUAAGGAUCUGGCAUUGCCGUGGGCUGUGGUGUAGGUUGCAGACGCAGCUCAGAUCUGGUAUUGCUGUGGCUCUGGCGUAGGCCAACAGCUGUAGCUCUGAUAAGACCCCUAGCCUGGGAACCUCCAUAUGCCACAGGUGCAGCCCUAAAAAAAAAAAAAUUGGGUGUGACAUGAAGAGGGAAAAGCUUUCCAGGCCUGAUUGCUAAAAUGGGGGCAGGGCUCAUGGCUCCCACAGACUAGAGUGUGGGGUACAUCUUGCACUUGUCCUGCAAAGAGGCGGAAAGCAAGGAGGGGGCACUGAGAAAGAUUUUUAAUUCUGCUUUGAGUUUCCUUUUUUGGUAUAAUGGGUUAUUGGAAAAGUUACAUUUGCUCUUGGUAGUGAUUUCAUUACAUCUAAAACCCAGGGAAGACACGGCUAUACAGGGGCAGGGACGUGGGCUUGAACCCAAGUGUCCAUUUGAAGGCACUGCCUGACCCUAGGAGGGUUGUACCUGCCCCUCACCACGUAUGGGCAUGGAGCAUCAUGUCACAUGCACAGGGAGGACCUUUGGAGAAGCUUAGACAUGAAUGCCCCUCCAUCAACUCUCUCCCACCUCCACUCUCCUAGCUGGUAUCAGCGGCAGCCUCUGGUUUUGAACACAAAGGACAUUUGUUGCAUGCAAUCAUUGUCUAAAGCUGGCCUUUUUCUAUUAUGAAUGAUCAUGAAAUUGAGGGUGAAGGAGAAAGGCAACUCCACAUUUGAAGCUACAAAAAGGCCGUGAUUCAUUUCCAGUCUCUUUAUUAAGCAGCCUAGUCUCAGAUAAUUUGCAGCAAAGUUUUACCCUGGAGCAAGUUUCCUCAGUCAUGUUAAAUUCAUGGGGAAAAUCCUCCCGGGAUUUAGAACUGAAAAAUAGACGGCUUUAAUAACAGAAACGUUGGUGUAAAGAGCAGAGAGAGGCAGUAUGUUCUAACCAUUUAGGGAAAAAAUGGGUAAGAUGUUACUAAUAAGCUCUGCUAUAUUUUUAUCCUACCGUUUUCAUCAUCUGAAGGAAUACUGAGAUGAGCUUUUAAAGUCUGAAUGAUUAUCUGACAGCUUCCAUCUUUAGGGCAAAUUAUUAGCAAGGGUUUUAUUUUGCUAUUACCUUUAGUCAAAACUCAGAGGACAUACGCUUAUCAGAGCUCAGAGAGGGAAUCAAAUCUACAGACAAGAGUGCUUUGAACGGAACUGCAGAACCCAGCUACUUCUAGUCUUUCUAGGUGACCUCUGUGGACACUGUCUUUCUUAUGGAGUGAGGCUGGGGUAGGGAUUAAUAGGGUCCAUAGCGCUCUCCUCAACGUGGUCCCCACCUAACUUUCAGCUCCAUCACUUGCCAUCCCCCACAACCCAUCCAGGCACACACCCUGUAUUCCCAUUAUGCCAAACUGCCCACUGGUCCCAAAUAUGUGGCAUCACCUAUCUAGGUUUCAGCUCAUCUUUCAAGACUCAUUUCUAGAAUGAGUUUCUUCCAGAAAUCUUUCCAACUGUGGACAAAGUUAGUGGCAUCUUAUUCUGCUCUCCCAUAGGGCCUCGUGCCUGCUUCACUAGGGAGCUUAAUCAACUGCAAGGAUUAGUUUACAAUGUCAGUUUCCCCAGUGACCUUGAAGGGGCAAGGAUUUUUAUCCGGGAUAUCUGUACCCUCUAGUUCAGUGUUUCUCAACAGCAGCACUACUGACAUUUGGGGCCAGAAAAUUUCUUUCUUUUUU